rnacentral:piRNA from 1 species
UGCCUAAGAUGAUUGAGUUCCCGAGG